rnacentral:lncRNA from 1 species
GGUACAGUGACUCAAAUAUACUUGGUUCCUUCCACUGAAUCAUAUCUAGAUGGUCAGAGAUUCGGACAAUAUGCCCUGGGUGGCUGCUGUAGGAGUAUAACAUCACAAGCAGGAACAGAAAUAAUCCUCACUAGAAGACAUUUGCAGAGAGGGACUCCUAGAUGA